GGAGGGGUGCAAACGUUGCUCGGAAUUACUGGGCGUAAAGCGCAUGUAGGCGGUCUAUUAAGUCUCGUGUGAAAGCCCUGGGCUCAACCCAGGAAGUGCACGGGAAACUGGCAGGCUAGAGUGCGGGAAAAGAGGGCGGAAUUCCCGGUGUAGAGGUGAAAUUCGUAGAUAUCGGGAGGAACACCAGUAGCGAAAGCGGCUCUCUCGACCGACACUGACGCUCAGAUGCGAAAGCGUGGGGAGCAAACAGGAUUAGAUACCCUGGUAGUCCACGCCGUAAACGAUGGGCACUAGGUGUCGGGGGCUUGACCCCUUCGGCGCCGCAGCUAACGCAUUAAGUGCCCCGCCUGGGGAUUACGGUCGCAAGACUA
rnacentral:rRNA from 1 species